AAUAGUUUUAUGCCACAUCAGUACUCUUAUCCUGAAUUUCAGGAUUUUAUCCUUAAAAAAAUCAAAUCCAAAUUAAAAUAAUAAAAUCCUGAAAUUCAGGAUAAGAAUACUGAUGUGGCAUAAAACUAUU
rfam:Gossypium arboreum cultivar AKA8401 contig_9736_5, whole genome shotgun sequence.